AUGUACCUCUCUUGGUUCUAAGGUUAAAGAAUACAGAUUCCUACACAUGCACAAUGAGAUCCCAAUAGAGGAAGUCUGGGUUUCAGGAGUUAGAAAUAUAAAAUAGUUAUGGGAGUUUUGAUUGCAAACUGUAGUCAUGUAGAAACUACAAAAUGUACUAAUCCCUGCUUUUGAGAACAACUGUACUUGUGGUCAUUCACCUAUCUCUCCUGUGUUAUUCUGUCCUACACCAACAUUUUCCAUGUUAACAGUUCACAGGCCACAUGCACAGUAAAUCUCAAUUGAAACACCAUGUGGUUCUAUUAAAGUAAUGUUACAUGCACUAUCAACACAAUUAUAAAAUGAUCAAUUAUCAAACUGUAUGACCUGUUUCAAUGUAUAUUCAUUGUCUUCAUAAACCUUAAGAGAUGCUUUAAUAUACAUAAUGGAUACAUUCAAUCUUACUUACUUACAAAAGGGAAGAUAGAAUGUAAAACCUUAAGUAUCAAAAUUUUGUUAGUAAGUGAUG